rnacentral:tRNA from 1 species
GCCGCAGUAAUGUCAAUGGUAACAUCGGAGACUGUGGAUCUUCUGUUGCGGGUUCAAUUCCCGCCUGCGGCC